rnacentral:rRNA from 1 species
UAGGGAAUCUUCGGCAAUGGACGAAAGUCUGACCGAGCAAUGCCGCGUGAGUGAAGAAGGUUUUCGGAUCGUAAAACUCUGUUGUUAGAGAAGAACAAGGACGUUAGUAACUGAACGUCCCCUGACGGUAUCUAACCAGAAAGCAACGGCUAACUACGUGCCAGCAGCCGCGGUAAUACGUAGGUGGCAAGCGUUGUCCGGAUUUAUUGGGCGUAAAGCGAGCGCAGGCGGUUUCUUAAGUCUGAUGUGAAAGCCCCCGGCUCAACCGGGGAGGGUCAUUGGAAACUGGGAGACUUGAGUGCAGAAGAGGAGAGUGGAAUUCCAUGUGUAGCGGUGAAAUGCGUAGAUAUAUGGAGGAACACCAGUGGCGAAGGCGGCUCUCUGGUCUGUAACUGACGCUGAGGCUCGAAAGCGUGGGGAGCAAACAGG